GAUGAACGCUGGCGGCGUGCUUAACACAUGCAAGUCGAACGAAGCAUUUAGGACAGAUUACUUCGGUUUGAAGUUCUUUAUGACUGAGUGGCGGACGGGUGAGUAACGCGUGGGUAACCUGCCUUGUACUGGGGGAUAGCAGCUGGAAACGGCUGGUAAUACCGCAUAAGCGCACAAUGUUGCAUGACAUGGUGUGAAAAACUCCGGUGGUAUAAGAUGGACCCGCGUCUGAUUAGCUAGUUGGUGAGAUAACAGCCCACCAAGGCGACGAUCAGUAGCCGACCUGAGAGGGUGACCGGCCACAUUGGGACUGAGACACGGCCCAGACUCCUACGGGAGGCAGCAGUGGGGAAUAUUGCACAAUGGAGGAAACUCUGAUGCAGCGACGCCGCGUGAGUGAAGAAGUAAUUCGUUAUGUAAAGCUCUAUCAGCAGGGAAGAUAGUGACGGUACCUGACGAAGAAGCUCCGGCUAAAUACGUG
rnacentral:rRNA from 1 species